rnacentral:rRNA from 1 species
GAUGAACGCUGGCGGCGUGCCUAAUACAUGCAAGUCGAGCGAACAGACGAGGAGCUUGCUCCUCUGACGUUAGCGGCGGACGGGUGAGUAACACGUGUAUAACCUACCUAUAAGACUGGGAUAACUUCGGGAAACCGGAGCUAAUACCGGAGAAUAUAUUGAACCGCAUGGGUCAAUAGUGAAAGACGGUUUUGCGGUCACUUAUAGAUGGAUCCGCGCCGCAUUAGCUAGUUGGUAAGGUAACGGCUUACCAAGGCAACGAUGCGUAGCCGACCUGAGAGGGUGAUCGGCCACCCUGGAACUGAGACACGGUCCAGACUCCUGCGGGAGGCAGCAGUAGGGAAUCUUACGCAAUGGGCGAAAGCAUGACGGAGCAACGCCGCGUGAGUGAUGAAGGUCUUCGGAGCGUAAAACUCUGUUAUUAGGGAAGAACAAAUGUGUAAGUAACUAUGCACGUAUUGACGGUACCUAAUAAGAAAGCCACGGCUAACUACGUG